rnacentral:rRNA from 1 species
GAUGAACGCUGGCGGCGUGCCUAAUACAUGCAAGUCGAGCGAACGGACGAGAAGCUUGCUUCUCUGAUGUUAGCGGCGGACGGGUGAGUAACACGUGGAUAACCUACCUAUAAGACUGGGAUAACUUCGGGAAACCGGAGCUAAUACCGGAUAAUAUUUUGAACCGCAUGGUUCAAAAGUGAAAGACGGUCUUGCUGUCACUUCUAGAUGGAUCCGAGCUGCAUUAGCUAGUUGUUAAGGUAACGGCCUACCACGGCGACUAUGCAUAGCCGACCGGAUUGGGUGAUCGGCCACACUGGAACUGAGCCACGGUCCAGAGUCCUACGGGAGGCAGCAGUAGGGAAUCUUCCGCAAUGGGCGAAAGCCUGACGGAGCAACGCGGCGUGAGUUAUGAAGGUCUUCGGAUCGUAAAACUCUGUUACGAGGGAAGAACAGAUGUGUAAGUAACUGUGGACAUCUUGACGGUACCUAAUCAGAAAGCCACGGCUAACUACGUG